rnacentral:rRNA from 1 species
AUUGAACGCUGGCGGCAGGCCUAACACAUGCAAGUCGAGCGAGUGGCGGACGGGUGAGUAAUGUCUGGGAAACUGCCUGAUGGAGGGGGAUAACUACUGGAAACGGUAGCUAAUACCGCAUACCAUCGGAUGUGCCCAUAUGGGAUUAGCUAGUAGGUGGGGUAAAGGCUCACCUAGGCGACGAUCCCUAGCUGGUCUGAGAGGAUGACCAGGCACACUGGAAAUGAGAAACGGUCCAGACUCCUACGGGAUGCAGCAGUGGGGAAUAUUGCACAAUGGGCGCAAGCCUGAUGCAGCCAUGCCGCGUGUAUGAAGAAGGCCUUCGGGUUGUAAAGUACUUUCAGCGGGGAGGCGUUACCCGCAGAAGAAGCACCGGCUAACUCCGUGCCAGCAGCCGCGGUAAUUC